rnacentral:lncRNA from 1 species
UGGAGGGUGGGCGGUGCCGGUGAGGCCGGCAGGACCUGAGCGGGUUUGGGAGUCCGCUAGGCGCUGCCCCCACUAGAGUCGGACUCGCAGUGCACCCCCCGGGAGGGAGGCAGGUAGCCCUACAGCCGGAGGACAGCAGAGAUGCCCGACAGCAGGCCGAGCUGGUCGGGGGCUGCGAGAUAGCGCCGGCUGGAAGGCCCGCAGGAGUCAGAGGUGAUGAGCCGGGCAGGUGGGUGGAAAGCCGGCGGCGGUCAGAGAAUGGAUGCCAAGCGAGACUGCCAAUGACUCAGGACGUCCCAGUGGAGUCACAGCGUGAGCCCAGCACCGAGGUUUUCAGAGUCAGAUGACUGCAGAGAAGAUGCUGAUGGCACUACUGGCCAAAACGGGCUUCACUGGAGCUGGGAUGGAGUCUUGCUCUGUCGCCCAGGCUGGAGUGCAGUGGCACAAUCUCGGCUCACUGCAACCUCCGCCUCCCAGGUUCAAGAGAUUCUCCUGUCUCAGCCUCCUGAGUAGCUUGGAUUACAGGCAUGUGCCACCACUCCCAGCUAAUUUUGUAUUUUUAGUAGAGACGGGGUUUCGCCAUGUUGGCCAGGCUGGUCUCAAACUCCUGACCUGAAGCAAUCCGCCUGCCUCAGCCUCCCAAAGCUCUGGGAUUACAGGCGUGAGCCACCAUGCCUGGCUGUUGUACUUUCAGAGCCCAAGGUAAGCAGC